UACGUAGGGUGCGAGCGUUGUCCGGAAUUAUUGGGCGUAAAGGGCUCGUAGGCGGUUUGUCGCGUCGGGAGUGAAAACCAGGUGCUUAACACCUGGCUUGCUUUCGAUACGGGCAGACUAGAGGUAUUCAGGGGAGAACGGAAUUCCUGGUGUAGCGGUGAAAUGCGCAGAUAUCAGGAGGAACACCCGUGGCGAAGGCGGCUCUCUGGGACGGUACUGACGCUGAGACGCGAAAGCGUGGGGAGCAAACAGG
rnacentral:rRNA from 1 species